rnacentral:tRNA from 1 species
AUUUAUUUAGUAUAAUAAGUAUAUUUAACUUCCAAUUAAAAGGUCUGACAAACUAGAAUAAAUA